CAAGAAUGACUACACGUGUCUCUGGUUGGCAAGAUGCUACAUCGUGAAUCCUAAGGCCAGACUAGCCUGGGAGUUGUACCUUAAGAUGGAGACGUCUGACGAAUCGUUCAGCCUGCUGUAGCUCAUUGCCAACGACGGCUACAAGAUGGCCAGUUCUACUAUGCGACCAAGGCUUUCGGUGUCCUGGAAAGAUUGGACCCCAAUCCUGAAUACUGGGAAGGCAAGCGAGGGGCAUGCGUGGGCGUAUUCCAGCAGAUCAUAGCUGGUCAUGAACCAAGAGAAACACUGCGAGACAUCCUCCAAAUCUUGCGCAACACCGGUAACCCGCAGGUGGAAUACAUCAUCCGUGUCAUGAAGAAGUGGGCCAAGGACAACAGGGUACCAGUUUCCUGAGGUGGUCCCUAUCCUAGUCUUGAGAUUGUUUAAAUGUGUUUAUCCAAAAAACCCUGCUUCGCAAAGGGAUUUUCCAAA